rnacentral:rRNA from 1 species
UUAAAUGGCCGCAGUAUUUUGACUGUGCAAAGGUAGCAUAAUCAUUAGUUUUUUAAUUAAAAGCUGGAAUGAAGGGUUGAACGAGAAAAUAACUGUCUCUUUAUAAAUUUUUUAGAAUUUUAUUUUUAAGUUAAAAAGCUUAAAUUUUUUUAAAAGACGAGAAGACCCUAUAGAGUUUUAUAAUUUUUAAUUAAAAAUAUUUUAAGUUGAAUUAUUAAUUUUUUUAAGUAAAUAUUAUUUGAUUGGGGUGAUUGAAAAAUUUAGUUAACUUUUUUUUAAUAAAUUCAUUAAUAAAUGAAUUAUUGAUCCAAAUAAUUUUGAUUAUAAGAAUAAAUUACCUUAGGGAUAACAGCGUAAUUUUUUUUAAGAGUUCUUAUCGAUAAAAAAGUUUGCGACCUCGAUGUUGGAUUAAAAUUUAAUUUUGGUGUAGAAGCUAAAAUAUUAGGUCUGUUCGACCUUUAAAAUUUUACAUGAUCUGAGUUUAAACCGGUGUGAGCCAGGUUGGUUUCUAUCUUUAAAUAUAUUAUAAUAUUUUAGUACGAAAGGACCAAGUAUUAAUAAUAAUUAUUUUAUUAAGAUUAAUAAUAAUA